rnacentral:piRNA from 1 species
UUGGGAAGGCUAAGGAGAGGCUG